UAUUCUGUCACCGGUGAAUCAGCCACCUACCACCACCUCCCUGGACAUCGCCAGCGACCAUUCUCACCCUCAGCUCCGUCUCAAAUGUCGGAGAUCCCAUUAAAAACGACCAUUUUUAGUUGUUACUUAUAGAUUCCAUUCAGAUCUGACCGAAAACGUGUAGCUCCGGCGACCCUUCAUUGAAUCCGGUGAAACAAAGCUCAAACCUAGCAGUAAACCCAGCUCCAAAAAUGCUCUAAAACUACAUCAAAUCAGUGUGAAAAUCAUCCCAAAAUCGUCGUCUAACUCAUUCGAUUUGAAUCGUUCUAGGCUCCGUUACCGGUUCGAGGUUCAGGUCAUUAGCUCGUUUUUGGUAUGCUGCAUCAGAGAUUUUCUUUCAUUGUAUACAUUGAAGAAUAUGCAACAAUAAAGGGGCCUUAAGGUUUUCAAUAAUAGAGAAUGAGUUAUUGUAAAUUCAGUUUCAUAUGCUAUCUGCGUCAUCUUAGCAGACCAAACUAAGGUACUGUUCCUCGUUAUGGUUAGUGAUUAAUUCAUAGCUUCUUGCACUGAUUUUUUCGUGUUAACCGUUGCUCUCUGUUUUCGUUUGGAUUGCUUUAGCUUUUUUUCUCUGUGAAUUUCGUACUUUGGCUGCAGUGUCCACUAGUUUGAAAGAUCUUCUUUUGGUAUUUUGCUUGGUUUUGCUAUAGGGUUUCUCUAACAAUAAACAAAUGAAUUUUACUUUUAGCAAAAGUUUGUCUACAAUAGCAUACAAAAUAAGAGAAUCCUUUUCAGCAAUACUAAAACCAGGACAUUUUGAAUUCACAAUCGAUAUCAUAUAGAGUGGAGUAAAAUAAUAAUAACAAACUGAAAUAUGUCAUAAAGUUUUGUUUAGUGGAGUCACUUCACUAAAAAGAUCGGUUUGCAAGCAGCUUAGUAAGAAACAAAACAUGUUGUUGGCGAAUUUGCAAAACUAGUAAAGGAAGCUAGUAAUAGUAUCAUAUUGUUGUUGUUGCAUCAUACUGUUAUGAUAUGCAUCCAGCAUUUCUAUCAUUUAUUUAAAUCAUAAAAUGUUAUUAAUUUUGUAUACGUUCGUGUGAUACGAAUACAAUUUAAAAAUGAAUAUUCAUAGGCAAUUCUUUAGGCGCGACUUAAUCUAUCAUCAUGAUUGUGUACACGUUCGCGUGACAUAGUUACGAUUUUUAAAAUAAAGUGAAGUACGUGUUCGCGCGACUUUGGCCAAGCUUUUCUUAAAAUAAUUAAGUGCUGUGAAAUAUGUACACGUACGUGUAGCAUGAUUCUUGACGCGCUGAACGAAAUGAGUACACUUACACGUGACAUGUUUUAAGAUAAUUCCAUAAUCGCGAAUAAUUAAGUAAUUAAAAGCGUUAAAAGGUAAAAUAUACAUAGGUCUUAAAAGUGAGUAAUUAAAUAAUUUAAGCUAGGUAUGAUUAGAGCGACCAUGCUAAAACCACAAAAUUUGGGAAUGCCUAAUACCUUCUCCCGGAUUAACAAAAUUCCUUACUUGGUCUUCUGGUUUCACAAACUUUAAAACAGAGUCAAUUUUCCUCAAUUUGGGAUUUAAAAUAAACCGGUAACUCUGGACACCAUAAAUAUUUCAAGUGGCGACUUUGAAAUGAAAUAAACAAUCCCAUUUCGAUUAGUGUCAUUUUAAUUGGAAAAACUCCCUAUUCCUUUGGGGAAAAAGGUGGUGUGACAACUCUGGCGUCUCUGUUGGGGAUCAAACCCAAAAUCUCUGGUUCAGGGUUCAGAAUUCGAGCUUGUAAUAUAAUUUAUACUUGGCUUUAUUGUUUGUUGGUAGUACUAUAUUUGUGGGCUUAAUGUGCUAAUUAUCGCUCAUUUAUCGCUUUGAUAUUAUUUUAAUUGUAUUAAACUGUCUUCUUACGCAUCCUUUCUGAGUCUUCUAAAAAUAUGGUGCACACGUACGGUGGCCCACUUUUCUAUUAGAGGUCAUACCAAAUAGAACGAGGCUGGAUCAGCAACUAGGCUUGGUAGACUUUCGUGUUCCCGAUACAUUGCCCCUACCUUGGCUCGAGCUGUCCUCUUGGGUAAGCCCUGUCUAGAACACACCCCUAGGUUUUAAACCUAGAAUAACAUAGCCUCAUGCUAGAUCCCCAAUAAGAAUGUUUAUUUGCAUCACGUGCAUUUGGCUUUGGGGACUCAACACAGGGGUUGAGUCCGUCAAGGACAGGUGUACCCAAAAAUAAAAGACAAUCCUGAUGCAUCCUAUGUGCUACAUGUUGUAUUCUUCAAGGGUAAAAAGGUUAUUUGGCGGACCAAUGAUGGUUGAGGGUAAAUGAGAAAGAAAAGAGGGUGAAGUGUGAAAAUGAAGCAAGUAGGGCCCAUUUAUGUUUUUCUUUCACAAUUUUUUAAGAAAAAGACAAAAAAAA
rnacentral:lncRNA from 1 species